rnacentral:rRNA from 1 species
CAAGGGAUAUUGCGCAAUGGGCGAAAGCCUGACGCAGCGACGCCGCGUGGGGGAAGAAGGCUUUCGGGUUGUAAACCCCUUUUCUUGGUGAAGAGUAAGGACGGUAACCGAGGAAUAAGUCUCGGCUAACUACGUGCCAGCAGCCGCGGUAAUACGUAGGAGGCAAGCGUUAUCCGGAAUCACUGGGCGUAAAGGGCGUGUAGGCGGCCCCUUAAGUUGGCUGUGAAAUCUCCCGGCUCAACCGGGAGGGGUCAGCCAAUACUGGGGGGCUAGAGGGCAGCAGAGGAAGGUGGAAUUCCCGGUGUAGCGGUGGAAUGCGUAGAUAUCGGGAGGAACACCAGUGGCGAAGGCGGCCUUCUGGGCUGCCCCUGACGCUGAGGCGCGAAAGCGUGGGGAGCGAAGUGG